rnacentral:rRNA from 1 species
GAUGAACGCUGGCGGCGUGCCUAAUACAUGCAAGUCGAGCGAACAGACGAGGAGCUUGCUCCUCUGACGUUAGCGGCGGACGGGUGAGUAACACGUGGAUAACCUACCUAUAAGACUGGGAUAACUUCGGGAAACCGGAGCUAAUACCGGAUAAUAUAUUGAACCGCAUGGUUCAAUAGUGAAAGACGGUUUUGCUGUCACUUAUAGAUGGAUCCGCGCCGCAUUAGCUAGUUGGUAAGGUAACGGCUUACCAAGGCAACGAUGCGUAGCCGACCUGAGGGGGUGAUCGGCCACACUGGAACUGAGACACGGUCCAGACUCCUACGGGAGGCAGCAGUAGGGAAUCUUCCGCAAUGGGCGAAAGCCUGACGGAGCAACGCCGCGUGAGUGAUGAAGGUCUUCGGAUCGUAAAACUCUGUUAUUAGGGAAGAACAAAUGUGUAAGUAACUAUGCACGUCUUGACGGUACCUAAUCAGAAAGCCACGGCUAACUACGU